CCUGUUCAUUAUUCUUUGGAAUGUUUCAUUCCCAGCGGAAAAUUCAAGCACAAUCUAUAACUUGGGAAUCCAGCAGGUCACAGUUUAUUCUGAUGACUAAACCAAUCCAACUGUCCCUUCUGUUUAACAAACCUCAAAAUUCCCCUUCUGAUAUUUUUAUAUGAGUCAGAAUUAUUUUCCUCUUCUAUCUCCAUUACCACGAUAAUCUGACUGAGGGGUCUAUAACACAACUGCAUUCUCAAAUUUCUAAAUAACAAAAAAAGUAACUCUCAGGAAUAUUUUCAAAUAAAAUUAGUAACGGGGACAGGGGAAAAGUAGGGACAGAAUAAAUCAGAGAGCCCUGGUAAAUUCUGUUAUUCAUUUCAAAAUAAAAAUUGAGGUGGGAAGGGACAACAAAAAGGAGCCCACUUUUCCAUCAUAAAGUUCUGUUUUUAAACAAUGGGAGUAUUUGGAGACUCUAUAAUUAGACUGAGUCAUGUGAAAUCUUGGAAUGGGGAGUAAGAAUU